UACGUAGGUGACCAGCGUUGUCCGGAUUUACUGGGCGUAAAGAGCGCGCAGGCGGUCGUUCAAGUCGAGUGUGAAAGCCCCCGGCUCAACUGGGGAGGGUCAUUCGAUACUGAUCGACUGGAAGGCAGGAGAGGGAAGCGGAAUUCCCGGUGUAGUGGUGAAAUGCGUAGAUAUCGGGAGGAACACCAGUGGCGAAGGCGGCAUCCUGGACCGGCAUUGACGCUGAUGAGCGAAAGCUAGGGGAGCAAACGGGG
rnacentral:rRNA from 1 species